AUGAGGAGAGAUGAACGCGACGCGACAGGGAGGUGGGGCGCCGCAGCGGCGGUCGUACCGGCGGCGCGCGGAGGGGAACCGCGGCGGCGAGCGGAAGAGGAAGUUGUUGUUUUUUUAGCAGAAAAAGUCGUGGCUACGGCGUCGUCUGGACCAGCGACGCUUCUGGCCCGUUGCAAAAGCCGCUCGAUAAGGCCUCUGGCCCAUCAUCAUGGUCAUCUGGCGCAGCGCUCGUUCGGCGCGUGGGCCAUUAACCGGUCACUUGCGGCCGCGGCCCGUACGUGCGCCUCAUCCGCGCCCCCUCCUCCUCGUCGUCGUCAGUCAGCGACGGACCGAACCACCGAGCACACACCCACCUCACCGGCCAACGAUUAA
rnacentral:rRNA from 1 species